GAUGAACGCUGGCGGCGUGCCUAAUACAUGCAAGUCGAGCGAACAGAUGAGGAGCUUGCUCCUCUGACGUUAGCGGCGGACGGGUGAGUAACACGUGGAUAACCUACCUAUAAGACUGGGAUAACUUCGGGAAACCGGAGCUAAUACCGGAUAAUAUAUUGAACCGCAUGGUUCAAUAGUGAAAGACGGUUUUGCUGUCACUUAUAGAUGGAUCCGCGCCGCAUUAGCUAGUUGGUAAGGUAACGGCUUACCAAGGCAACGAUGCGUAGCCGACCUUAGAGGGUGAUAGGCCACACUGGAACUGAGACACGGUCCAGACUCCUACGGGAGGCAGCAGUAGGGAAUCUUCCGCAAUGGGCGAAAGCCUGACGGAGAAACGCCGCGUGAGUGAUGAAGGUCUUCGGAUCGUAAAACUCUGUUAUUAGGGAAGAACAAAUGUGUAAGUAACUAUGCACGUCUUGACGGUACCUAAUCAGAAAGCCACGGCUAACUACGUG
rnacentral:rRNA from 1 species